rnacentral:rRNA from 1 species
UACGGAGGGUGCAAGCGUUGUUCGGAAUCACUGGGCGUAAAGGGCGUGUAGGCGGCCUGUUAAGUCUGAUGUGAAAUCCCCUCGCUCAACGAGGGAACUGCGUCGGAAACUGGCAGGCUUGAGUACCGGAGAGGAAGGUGGAAUUCCUGGUGUAGCAGUGAAAUGCGCAGAUAUCAGGAAGAACACCCGUGGCUAAGGCGGCUCUCUAGUACGGUACUGACGCUGAGACGCGAAAGCGUGGGGAGCGAACAGG